rnacentral:rRNA from 1 species
UACGUAGGAUGCAAGCGUUGUCCGGAAUUAUUGGGCGUAAAGAGCGCGCAGGCGGUUUGAGGAGUCAGAUGUGAAAGAGGCCGGCUUAACCGGCAAGGGUCAUUUGAAACUGUCAGACUAGAGUGCAGCAGAGGAUAGUGGAAUUCCCGGUGUAGUGGUGAAAUGCGUAGAUAUCGGGAGGAACACCAGUGGCGAAGGCGACUAUCUGGGCUGCAACUGACGCUGAGGCGCGAAGGCUAGGGUAGCAAACAGG